GGCUCGUUGGUCUAGGGGUAUGAUUCCUGCUUCGGGUGCAGGAGGUCCGGGGUUCAAAUCCCGGACGAGCCC
rnacentral:tRNA from 1 species